UACGGGGGGAGCAAGCGUUGUUCGGAUUUACUGGGCGUAAAGGGCGCGUAGGUGGCCAGUGCAAGUCAGUUGUGAAAUCUCCGAGCUUAACUCGGAAAGGUCAACUGAUACUGCUCGGCUAGAGUGCGGAAGGGGCAACUGGAAUUCUUGGUGUAGCGGUGAAAUGCGUAGAUAUCAAGAGGAACGCCUGCGGCGAAGGCGGGUUGCUGGGCCGACACUGACGCUGAAGCGCGAAAGCUAGGGGAGCGAACGGG
rnacentral:rRNA from 1 species